AUGCCGCUCACCAGAUGUAGACGACGUUUCAGCCGACUGCUGUGUCUCCUUUACCAGACGUCCCUGUUGAAUCUGAUUCCAUACAUGCAGUCCGUGUUCAUGUGUGGAGGUCUGGUGUGCCAGAUGGGAGGAGUAAGAAGUGUCCGUGUGAUGAUGAAGGGUGAAAAUGAAGGACAGGCAACCUCGCCUCUGCAGAAACUCCCUCUUCCACAGCGGCUGCGCAGACGCUUGGAUCUUCCUGCUGGACAGUUUCACAUUCAUGCAACAAACCAUGAUGGUCCAAUCCCCCUCUACCCCCCACACAACGCACGCAGAAACAUCACACAUAUUAAGAUUUUCUGUUAAAUCUUACCAAAUUUAUACAUAUCCAGGGCUUUGACCAUUUGGUGUUAAUUUUGCACUCCCGUAUCGACACCCGUCCUCCAACCCGGGGAUCACCCCUAUGUAAAUGAAUAGAAACUUUAGUGCGUUUGGACUUUUUAGACUUCUGCCCAGCAGCAGUAAGCAGGCACAUAGAGGACCUCACACCCGCGUCCCGCAUAUAUGGCUGUGAUAGAAUUUAGAAAACACAAAGAUGAUCCUUAAUCGAAUUGUCUGCUCCACCAUAAAGGCUGCAGGCUGCAUGGAAAUGUCCAUAUUCAUCAUAAAUCUAUGUGCACAUGAGCAAAGUUCCCAGGUCAACUUUGGGACAGAAAGGUAUUAGUUGAUACUACUGAAACAUCCUGUUUGACCCUUAACACGUGUGUUUCAG
rnacentral:lncRNA from 1 species